UGUACCAUAUAUCCACGUCAACUCUCAAAGGGGAAAGGUGGUCGUACGUUAGGAGGGGUUUUCUCUCAAAGAACCAAGAAAGAAGAAGAGAGGGGACCAGAGAAUGGUUAAGAGAUGAAUAAGCUUGCAGAAGAAGAGGAUCAAGAAGGGAAACUGAGGGUUUCACAAAUAGAAAAUUGCAAGGAGAGUGAAGGUUGCACAGAGAGAAAUUGCAGGGUCAGAGAGGGGUUUCACGACAGGUUCGUAUUCGUCUUCUACCUUCCAUUUUUCUUUCCUGGCAUCGACAGGCAACGAUCGUUCAGAUGCUCUCAUCAACAAGAACAUGAGAAAGCAUUUGGGCCUAUGAAUGCAAAGCUGGAUAGAGAGUGGGGAUAAAUUGGAGUUUUUUAUGAUAUCUCAUUGAGAAACCAAAAACCCGUUUGUUUGUCGAAUAAGAUGACGAAGGACAAUGCAAUUCAGAAUGUAAGACGAUAGAAUGGGGCUUGUCAGGAGAUGAUUGUGAUUUUGGAUUCAUAGUUUCAUCUGGAAGAUUUCAGGAGGUGCUUGUAGCAAAGAAACAAUAGAUAAAAAUAGGACUCUUUGUCCAAUAUUUGUACUAAUUUUGGUGCAUCCAUAUAUGAUGAUGUUGAACAUUUGCAAGGUACAACCUUUAAUGUCACAGAUGUAUGAUAUGUCCAAAGACUACUCUGACCACAAUCAUUAAUUGUUUUGUUUGAAA